rnacentral:rRNA from 1 species
GACGAACGCUGGCGGCGUGCCUAACACAUGCAAGUCGAACGUCCAGCCCCAUUUAUAGAGCUGGAAGUGGCGGACGGGUGAGUAACGCGUGAGCAACCUGACCUAAAGAGGGGGAUAACAUCGGGAAACCGAUGCUAAUACCGCAUAAGACCACAACUGCCACGGCAGAAGGGGUCAAAGGAGUAAUCCGCUUUAGGAGGGGCUCGCGUCCCAUUAGAUAGUUGGUGGGGUAAUGGCCUACCAAGUCAACGAUGGGUAGCCGAGCUGAGAGGCUGAUCGGCCACACUGGAACUGAGACACGGUCCAGACUCCUACGGGAGGCAGCAGUGGGGAAUAUUGGGCAAUGGGGGAAACCCUGACCCAGCGACGCCGCGUGAGGGAAGAAGGUUUUCGGAUUGUAAACCUCUGUCCUUGGGGAAGAAACAAAUGACGGUACCCAAGGAGGAAGCCCCGGCUAACUACGUGCCAGCAGCCGCAGUAA